rnacentral:rRNA from 1 species
AGCAGCAGCCGCGGGAAUACGGAGGAUCCAAGCGUUAUCCGGAAUCAUUGGGUUUAAAGGGUCCGUAGGCGGUCUUGUAAGUCAGUGGUGAAAGCCCAUCGCUCAACGGUGGAACGGCCAUUGAUACUGCAGGACUUGAAUUAUUGGGAAGUAACUAGAAUAUGUAGUGUAGCGGUGAAAUGCUUAGAGAUUACAUGGAAUACCAAUUGCGAAGGCAGGUUACUACCAAUUGAUUGACGCUGAUGGACGAAAGCGUGGGUAGCGAACAGGAUUAGAUACCCCCGUAGUCCCUGUCUCUUAUAU